CGUCCUGCGAGGUGUCUUGCAGGCCGUCAUGCAGGCCACACUGACGGAAACGUUGCAGGUCGUCUUGCAGGGCGUCUCGCAAGACGACACA
ensembl:miRNA